ensembl:lncRNA
GGACAGGCUUAAACUGUUUUAAUGGAUGACUCUGCCAUACAGAAAAAGAGUAAGUUUAUAAUGUGUCUAUGAUUAUCUCUCUGCAAUUAUCUAACAGGUUGUGAGACAGAUCCAGUCAUGUGGCUUACACCUAUUUCUUCUGGUGCUGAAGAGGGAAGAGUAUGAAUGGGUAUGAGAACUGAUCUUUCACACAACUAUGUUUUAUUCAAAUCUGAUGUCUUAUUGGUAACCAGUGAUCAUAAUGCUCAGUGAUUAACAUCAUUUAGAUCAAGACUAAAUGCAGCUAUUCUUAAAACAGUGACAGCCAGCAACAAUCUCAUGUUCUAAUGCUACUACACAUACUGACAAUACUGACGAUGAGGAACUUUCCAACCUCUCCCGAAAUAGUUGUUGAUUGCUGAGGAAUUAAAGUUAACAUUGCAGAUGUGUGUAUAAGUGUAUGAAUUUUUUUUUAAACCUUUGCACAAAGGCAGUUUCUUUUCUUUUUUUUUGAGAGACGGCCUCAGAAAAGAAUUAAAGGGUGAGCACUUCUUGGCUCAUGUAACGGAGCGGAAAGGCUGAUUUUAUUUCCACAGUGUCGUUUUUUAAAGGAAGGAAACCUUCCUCCAAACGGACAGAGCAGUGGAGCCGCCAAGGGAAAGCACACGAUUAAAAAACUGUAUAAUUAAAAUAUAAUUUAUUAUAUUUAAAUAGUUAAAAAUGCAAAAUGAAUUAAAACAACCUUGGCCAAGGGGUAACACAAUAAAAAGCAAUAAAACACAACAUUAACAGUCCAGUGGCAUCCGCCACGAUAUAAAAGUCCAAACGGUGCAGAAACCAACAGGAUUGUCGCCGUCCUGUCGGCCUCUUCAUUCUGAUGCCAACUAGCAAAAGGAGAGAGGGCCAGCGGCAGUCACCAUUCUUAAAUUCCACUGGAGGUUCGUCUUAGACGGGAUGAAUCGGGACUUACCCCAGAUGGGCAGAGCUCCUAACUCCGCCCACCACUGUGUUGUGCUUCACACGCGUAGCCAUAGACUCGCCGUCCCGGGGACAUAAGGCGCCAUCCCGCUGCCUCUCUAUCCCCUGCCGUGGGCCUCUCUCGGCGAGGAGCUACCUCCCGUCAACACCAGCACAGACCUCUCCGCUCAGCUCCGAUCACUCCCUCCAGUGCGCGGUCGUCCGCGAUCUCUGGUCUCGUUCUCCUUUGCCGCACGCCUUGGCCAGCUGCCUAUAGCCGGGCCUCUGUGCCGCUCUGCGCGGCCGUCGCCCACACCGGUUAACAUGCCAUGUCUUUCCUCCUCUCAAGCCUUCUCUCAAGCUUUUUCUCUCCCCUUGCUCUAUGGUCUGCCAGGCCCUCUUAUUGGCCUCCCUGGGAUCUCUCGCAGGUGUGAUCAGUUUACUAUCAGGUAGGGGCGGAGUCUUUACAGGACAGGUGUUCAAUUUAAAUAAGAUAAAAACAUGCAAUAAAGCUCAUACAAACAAACCCAAUAUACAAUAUUAAAAUAUUAAAACAGAUAAAACAUUGCAAAACAUGCACAAUAAAACUCUAAAUAACUUGUCCCGUUUCACCCCGUGACAUCCCCCCAAGCUGAAAGAUUAGCAGUCCCUGCUAAGGCCCAGCUACCAAUCAUGAAGCUUUCUUGGAGUCCGGUUCCGUCUUCUACCCCCAAGCAAAAAUAAAAGCAAGUGCACUAUUCAGUCCAAGGCCACAAACGAGCAAUCACUCUCACGUCCUCGUAGCAUAGCUACCCGGAAGCCAUAAGGUCCUACACUGCACCCGGCUGCUACCGUGGGGAUACUUCCAGGCCUAACCUGGGUCUCGUGCUUAAUCCCAAGCACUGCUGCCUAGCAGCAAAUCAUUACCCCACCUCCCGCAAGCCUGCAGCUGACCUCCCAUGACAACCUCGGUUGGACGUUCUUCAUUCACUCUUGGUGUGGCCAACACUCAUACUUGUGCACACUGUCCAUACUCAUUUGCUCAGGGGACAUACGACCUAAAACACACAUUAUUUGGGGCACUAAUAUACACAUGCAUCAUAUAUUUGCAUUUCCCCUGACUAACCCAACUGCUCUGGCUCCAUAUCCUGUCGACAACGCCAAUUAUGUAACGGAGCGGAAAGGCUGAUUUUAUUUCCACAGUGUCGUUUUUUAAAGGAAGGAAACCUUCCUCCAAACGGACAGAGCAGUGGAGCCGCCAAGGGAAAGCACACGAUUAAAAAACUGUAUAAUUAAAAUAUAAUUUAUUAUAUUUAAAUAGUUAAAAAUGCAAAAUGAAUUAAAACAACCUUGGCCAAGGGGUAACACAAUAAAAAGCAAUAAAACACAACAUUAACAGUCCAGUGGCAUCCGCCACGAUAUAAAAGUCCAAACGGUGCAGAAACCAACAGGAUUGUCGCCGUCCUGUCGGCCUCUUCAUUCUGAUGCCAACUAGCAAAAGGAGAGAGGGCCAGCGGCAGUCACCAUUCUUAAAUUCCACUGGAGGUUCGUCUUAGACGGGAUGAAUCGGGACUUACCCCAGAUGGGCAGAGCUCCUAACUCCGCCCACCACUGUGUUGUGCUUCACACGCGUAGCCAUAGACUCGCCGUCCCGGGGACAUAAGGCGCCAUCCCGCUGCCUCUCUAUCCCCUGCCGUGGGCCUCUCUCGGCGAGGAGCUACCUCCCGUCAACACCAGCACAGACCUCUCCGCUCAGCUCCGAUCACUCCCUCCAGUGCGCGGUCGUCCGCGAUCUCUGGUCUCGUUCUCCUUUGCCGCACGCCUUGGCCAGCUGCCUAUAGCCGGGCCUCUGUGCCGCUCUGCGCGGCCGUCGCCCACACCGGUUACCAUGCCAUGUCUUUCCUCCUCUCAAGCCUUCUCUCAAGCUUUUUCUCCCCCCUUGCUCUAUGGUCUGCCAGGCCCUCUUAUUGGCCUCCCUGGGAUCUCUCGCAGGUGUGAUCAGUUUACUAUCAGGUAGGGGCAGAGUCUUUACAGGACAGGUGUUCAAUUUAAAUAAGAUAAAAACAUGCAAUAAAGCUCAUACAAACAAACCCAAUAUACAAUAUUAAAAUAUUAAAACAGAUAAAACAUUGCAAAACAUGCACAAUAAAACUCUAAAUAACUUGUCCCGUUUCACCCCGUGACACUCACAUGUCAUAUUUACUAUCAACUACAGGUUGAGGCUUCUGAAAAUCUAUAUUUUAGUCCUAUAUUUUACUUUAGCCCCCCUCCCCUCCCAAAUUUUCAACAUUUCAUCUCUGGCAGCUUAGCUCAGGAGGUAACAAUUAGUCCUCUACCAAUUGGAAGAUUGGAGAUUUGAUUCCUGGCUAUUCCAUUAGGGUUAUAGCUCUGUUAUCAGAAGAAAUUUUACAAGGUGCUUAACAACGAGGGAUAACAUGGAAAAACAAAACAAACACAAAUUGAAACAGUGGUCCCAUCAUUGCACAGUUACAUGUUGUUUACAUAACAAUUUAUGGUUAACGUGAGGCUAGCAAGCCACUGACGCCAUUUUAUUUAACUCAGGUAUGUAUCUUUGAAGGGUUUUUAUUUCUCUGUUUAAACUAGUCAAGGUACUGAAACUUUAUUUCUGAAAGACACCUACUUUAGAUCCUCAUAUUUGCAGCAUUAAUUUUGCUCUGCAUUUGACUGUUAAACCCACUUUCUGCAGAAAUUUCAAAUUACAAGCAUCUUAAGGUCUUGGUGGACAGAAACCCAAAGCUCUUAGUUAAAUGACAAAACAAAGUGUGACAGCAUUAAAUAAAGAAACUAAACAAAAAAACGCCAACAGACUUUGUUAAGCUUUUCAUCAUCAACCUAUUUCACCAUACCACAUAAUGGGUACAUCUAAUGGCAACAUAGGUAAAGUAUUAUAACUAAA